UACGUAGGGUGCAAGCGUUGUCCGGAAUUAUUGGGCGUAAAGAGCUCGUAGGCGGUCUGUCGCGUCUGCUGUGAAAACUCAGGGCUUAACCCUGAGCUUGCAGUGGGUACGGGCAGACUAGAGUGCGGUAGGGGAGACUGGAAUUCCUGGUGUAGCGGUGAAAUGCGCAGAUAUCAGGAGGAACACCGGUGGCGAAAGCGGCUUACUGGGUCUCUUCUGACGCUGGAGGUACGAAAGCUAGGGGAGCGAACGGG
rnacentral:rRNA from 1 species